rnacentral:rRNA from 1 species
UACGGAGGAUGCGAGCGUUAUCCGGAUUUAUUGGGUUUAAAGGGUGCGCAGGCGGGAUGCCAAGUCAGCGGUCAAAUUUCGGGGCUCAACCCCGACCUGCCGUUGAAACUGGUGUCCUAGAGUGGGCGAGAAGUAUGCGGAAUGCGUGGUGUAGCGGUGAAAUGCAUAGAUAUCACGCAGAACUCCGAUUGCGAAGGCAGCAUACCGGCGCCCAACUGACGCUCAUGCACGAAAGCGUGGGUAUCGAACAGG